AUUGAACGCUGGCGGCAGGCCUAACACAUGCAAGUCGAACGAGUGGCGGACGGGUGAGUAAUGUCUGGGAAACUGCCUGAUGGAGGGGGAUAACUACUGGAAACGGUAGCUAAUACCGCAUACCAUCAGAUGUGCCCAGAUGGGAUUAGCUAGUUGGUGGGGUACCGCCUCACCAAGGCGCCGAUCCCUAGCUGGUCUGAGAGGAUGCCCAGCCACACUGGAACGGAGACACGGGCCAGACUCCUACGUGACGCAGCAGUGGGGAAUAUUGCCGAUUGGGCGCAAGCCUGAGGCAGCCAUGCGGCGUGUAUGAAGAAGGCCUGCGGGUUGUAAAGUACUUUCAGCGGGGAGGCGUUACCCGCAUAAGAAGCACCGGCUAACUCCGUGCCAGCAGCCGCGGUAAUAC
rnacentral:rRNA from 1 species